UGUGACUGACUCAUCAGACGAUAAGAAGCA
rnacentral:piRNA from 1 species